CCUACGGGUGGCUGCAGUGAGGAAUAUUGGUCAAUGGACGAGAGUCUGAACCAGCCAAGUAGCGUGAAGGAUGACUGCCCUAUGGGUUGUAAACUUCUUUUAUAAAGGAAUAAAACGAGGCACGUGUGCAUUUUUGCAUGUACUUUAUGAAUAAGGAUCGGCUAACUACGUGCCAGCAGCCGCGGUUAUACGGAGGAUCCGAGCGUUAUCCGGAUUUAUUGGGUUUAAAGGGAGCGUAGAUGGGUUGUGAAGUCAGUUGUGAAAGUUUGCGGCUCAACCGUAAAAUUGCAAUUGAUACUGGCAGUCUUGAGUACAGUAGAGGUAAGCGGAAUU
rnacentral:rRNA from 1 species